rnacentral:rRNA from 1 species
GAUGAACGCUGGCGGCGUGCUUAACACAUGCAAGUCGAACGAGGAAGCCCAGCUGGCUGGGUGGAUUAGUGGCGAACGGGGGAGUAACACGAGAGUAACCGGCCCGUAACUCUGGGAUAAGGCUGGGAAACUGGGUCUAAUACCGGAUAGGAGCGGCCACCUCAUGGUGGGUGUUGGGAAGAGUGAUCGUUGUUGGAAGGACUCGCGGCCUCUUAGCUUGUUGGUGAGGUACUGGCUAACCACGGCGACGACGGGUAGCCGGCCGGCGAGGAUGACCGGCCACAAUGGGACUGAUACACGGCCCAGCCUACUCCGGGAGGCAGCAGUGGGGAAUAUUGCACAAUGGGCGGAAGACUGAUGCAGCGACGCCGCGUGAGGGAUGACGGCCUUCGGCUUGUAAAACUCUUUCAGUAGGAAAGAAGCGAAAGUGACCGUACCUGCAGAAGAAGCCCACGCUAACUACGUG